CACUCUAGGAGGAACACUCUGGGCUCUGCUGCAUAAAGUACAUUAUGAGAAUCACUCUAGGAGGAACACGCUGGGCUUUCCUGCAUAAAGUACAUUAUGAGACUUCACUCUAGGAGGAACACGCUGGGCUCUGCUGCAUAAAGUACAUUAUGAGACUUCACUCUAGGAGGAACACGCUGAGCUUUGCUGCAUAAAGUACAUUAUGAGACUUCACUCUGGUGUGAACAUUCUGGGCUCUGCUGCAUAAAGUACAUUAUGAGACUUCACUCUAGGAGGAACACGCUGAGCUUUGCUGCAUAAAGUACAUUAUGAGACUUCACUCUAGGAGGAACACGCUGGGCUCUGCUGCAUAAAGUACAUUAUGAGACUUUACUCUAGGAGGAACACGCUGGGCUUUCCUGCAUAAAGUACAUUAUGAGACUUCACUCCAGGAGGAACACGCUGAGCUUUGCUGCAUAAAGUACAUUAUGAGACUUCACUCCAGGAGGACACGUUGGGCUUUCCUGUGUAAAUUACAUUAUGAGACUUCACUCUGGUGUGAACACUCUGAUCUUUGCUGCAUAAAGUACAUUAUGAGAUUUUGCUCCAGGAGGACACGCGGGGCUUUGCUGUAUAAAGUACAUUAUGAGACUUUACUCUA